rnacentral:rRNA from 1 species
GUUACUUCGGUACAUCGGUGACAGGUGGUGCAUGGUUGUCGUCAGCUCGUGUCGUGAGAUGUUGGGUUAAGUCCCGCAACGAGCGCAACCCCUAUUGUUAGUUGCCAUCAUUCAGUUGGGCACUCUAGCGAGACUGCCGGUAAUAAACCGGGAGGAAGGUGGGGAUGACGUCAAAUCAUCAUGCCCCUUAUGACCUGGGCUACACACGUGCUACAAUGGUUGGUACAACGAGUUGCGAGUCGGUGACGGCGAGCUAAUCUCUUAAAGCCAAUCUCAGUUCGGAUUGUAGGCUGCAACUCGCCUACAUGAAGUCGGAAUCGCUAGUAAUCGCGGAUCAGCACGCCGCGGUGAAUACGUUCCCGGGCCUU